AGCGAACGCUGGCGGCAGGCCUAACACAUGCAAGUCGAACGGAUCCUUCGGGAUUAGUGGCGGACGGGUGAGUAACACGUGGGAACGUGCCCUUUGGUUCGGAACAACUCAGGGAAACUUGAGCUAAUACCGGAUGUGCCCUUCGGGGGAAAGAUUUAUCGCCAUUGGAGCGGCCCGCGUCUGAUUAGCUAGUUGGUGAGGUAACGGCCCACCAAGGCGACGAUCAGUAGCUGGUCUGAGAGGAUGAUCAGCCACACUGGGACUGAGACACGGCCCAGACUCCUACGGGAGGCAGCAGUGGGGAAUCUUGCGCAAUGGGCGAAAGCCUGACGCAGCCAUGCCGCGUGAAUGAUGAAGGUCUUAGGAUUGUAAAAUUCUUUCAGCGGGGAUGAUAAUGGCGGUACCCGCAGAAGAAGCUCCGGCUAACUUCGUG
rnacentral:rRNA from 1 species